UACAGAGGUCUCAAGCGUUGUUCGGAUUCAUUGGGCGUAAAGGGUGCGUAGGUGGCGCGGUAAGUCGGGUGUGAAUCUCGGAGCUUAACUCCGAAAUUGCAUUCGAUACUGCCGUGCUUGAGGACUGGAGAGGAGACUGGAAUUUACGGUGUAGCAGUGAAAUGCGUAGAGAUCGUAAGGAAGACCAGUGGCGAAGGCGGGUCUCUGGACAAUUCCUGACACUGAGGCACGAAGGCCAGGGAGCAAACGGG
rnacentral:rRNA from 1 species